rnacentral:lncRNA from 1 species
GAAGACAAUGUUUCAGAUGAGCUGAGUUUUUAUCUGAUCAUGCUCAAGAAUAUAAGGUAACAAGGGGAAAAAUUGUAAACUAAGGUACUGUUUGGUAUGUGCAGGUCGUCUUUGGCCGUGGAUGAUGUUGAUCAAAGGAUUUAUGGGAGCAUUGUUCCAGUGCUUGAUGAUGAAAAACCAACCAUGAGGGUUCUGGUAAGAUGAAAACUAUCCUGAAAAGCCUAUAAUUAAAUGCGAGGAUGUGUUAAAUGUCUAUUCUCCUUUUGGUUUUUUCCUUAAGGAAGCCUCUGAUGAGCUGGUUGAUGAUGAAUUGAUUCAGGUUGAUCAUUCGAUUGUGGAAGGCUUUAGCCAAGGGGGGAGGUCAUGUAUCACGACCCGAGUUUAUCCAACAGAGGCUAUCUAUGGAGCAGCUAGGUUAUUCCUCUUCAACAAUGCCACUGGAGUGAAUGUCACAGCCAGUAUCAAGAUAUGGGAAAUGGCUUCUGCUGAUAUUCACCCUUACCCAUUAGACCAACCAUAAUUCUUCCAUCUCCAUCCCAUCGUAACCUAUUUCAUUGAGUUCCUCUACAUUAGCUCCGUUUGGUUGCUGAGAAAUCCCCCGAGUCCUGUGGCAACCAAACAUGGUCUUGCAUUAUUUAAUUCUUGCGGCAAGGCUGCCAUAUUCA